GUGGCUGCCGGUUGGGUGCUUUCUACUGGUGCUGUGCAGAGGCUGUCCCUGAGGCUGCUGUGAGCCUAUAGGGUUUCCCCCCUAGGCUACGGAGCUGG
rnacentral:pre_miRNA from 1 species